rnacentral:misc_RNA from 1 species
UCCGGUUUGGCACCGGCAGUCUCCCUAGAGUCCCCGGCAUAAUCCGCUGGCAACAUGGAACGGGGGUUGCGCUCGUUGCGGGACUUAACCCAACACCUCACGGCACGAGCUGACGACAGCCAUGCACCACCUGUGAAGGUGCCCCGAAGGGAGACCGUGUUUCCACGGCUGUCACCUACAUGUCAAGCCCAGGUAAGGUUCUUCGCGUUGCGUCGAAUUGAACCACAUGCUCCACCGCUUGUGCAGGCCCCCGUCAAUUUCUUUGAGUUUUAAUCUUGCGACCGUACUCCCCAGGCGGGAUGCUUAAAGUGUUGACUGCGCCACCGAAGAGCAAGCUCCCCAACGGCUAGCAUCCAUCGUUUACGGCGUGGACUAC